AUUGAACGCUGGCGGCAGGCCUAACACAUGCAAGUCGAAUGGUAACAGGAAACAGCUUGCUGUUUCGCUGACGAGUGGCGGACGGGUGAGUAAUGUCUGGGAAACUGCCUGAUGGAGGGGGAUAACUACUGGAAACGGUAGCUAAUACCGCAUAACGUCGCAAGACCAAAGAGGGGGACCUUCGGGCCUCUUGCCAUCAGAUGUGCCCAGAUGGGAUUAGCUAGUAGGUGGGGUAACGGCUCACCUAGGCGACGAUCCCUAGCUGGUCUGAGAGGAUGACCAGCCACACUGGAACUGAGACACGGUCCAGACUCCUACGGGAGGCAGCAGUGGGGAAUAUUGCACAAUGGGCGCAAGCCUGAUGCAGCCAUGCCGCGUGUAUGAAGAAGGCCUUCGGGUUGUAAAGUACUUUCAGCGGGGAGGAAGGGAGUAAAGUUAAUACCUUUGCUCAUUGACGUUACCCGAAGAAGAAGCACCGGCUAACUCCGUG
rnacentral:rRNA from 1 species